rnacentral:rRNA from 1 species
UACGGGGGGUGCGAGCGUUGUCCGGAAUCACUGGGCGUAAAGGGCGCGUAGGUGGCCUGAUAAGGGUGUGGUGAAAGUCCGGGGCUUAACCCCGGAUCUGCCGUGCCGACUGUUAGGCUAGAGUGCUGUAGGGGCAGGCGGAAUUCCGGGUGUAGCGGUGGAAUGCGUAGAGAUCCGGAGGAAGACCGGUGGCGAAGGCGGCCUGCUGGGCAGAUACUGACACUGAGGCGCGACACGUGGGGAGCAAACAGG